rnacentral:tRNA from 1 species
GUGAGUGUAGCUCAGUUGGUUAGAGCAUCUGACUGUGGCUCAGAGGGUCGCGGGUUCGAUUCCCGUCAUUCACCCCA